rnacentral:rRNA from 1 species
CCUACGGGUGGCUGCAGUGAGGAAUAUUGGUCAAUGGGCGUAAGCCUGAACCAGCCAAGUCGCGUGUUUGAUGAAGGUCCUAUGGAUCUUAAACCUCUUUUAUAAGGGAAUAAAGUGCGGGACGUGUCCCUUUUUGUAUGUACCUUAUGAAUACCGAUCGGCUAACUCCGUGCCAGCAGCCGCGGUAAUACGGAGGAUCCGAGCGUUAUCCGGAUUUAUUGGGUUUAAAGGGUGCGUAGGCGGCCUUUUAUGUCAGCGGGGAAAGUCUGUGGCUCAACCAUAGAAUUGCCGUUGAAACUGGGAGGCUUGAGUAUAGAUGAGGCAGGCGGAAUGCGUGGUGUAGCGGUGAAAUGCUUAGAUAUCGCGAAGAACACCGGUUGCGAAGGCAGCCUGCCGAGCCAUGACUGACGCUGAGGCACGAAAGCGUGGGGAUCAAACAGGAUUAGAUACCCGGGUAGUC